rnacentral:rRNA from 1 species
CGAGCGAAGCUUUUCAGUAGUUUACUACAGAAAAUGACUGAGCGGCGAACGGGUGAGUAACGCGUGAGCAAUCUACCUUAGUUACAGGGAUAGCCCGAGGAAACUCGGAUUAAUACCUGAUAUUCUUUACAUUUCGCAUGAAAUCAAAAGGAAAGGUCAGCCGAACUAAGAUGAGCUCGCGUUCUAUCAGCUAGUUGGUGAGGUAAAAGCUCACCAAGGCAACGACGGAUAGCUGGUCUGAGAGGACGAUCAGCCACACUGGGACUGAGACACGGCCCAGACUCCUACGGGAGGCUGCAGCAGGGAAUAUUGCGCAAUGAGCGAAAGCUUGACGCAGCGACACCGCGUGUGGGAUGACGGAUCUAGGUUUGUAAACCACUUUCAGGAGGGAAGAAAAUGACGGUACCUCCAUAAGAAGCCCCGGCCAACUACGUGCCAGCAGCCGCGGUAAUACGUAGGGGGCGAGCGUUGUCCGGAUUUAUUGGGCGUAAAGAGCUCGUAGGCGGUUCAACAAGUCGGUCGUAAAAGUUCAGGGCUCAACCCUGAAAUGUCGAUCGAUACUGUUGUGACUAGGAUACGGUAGAGGUGAGUGGAAUUCCGAGUGUAGCGGUGAAAUGCGUAGAUAUUCGGAGGAACACCAAUUGCGAAGGCAGCUCACUGGGCCGCUAUCGACGCUGAGGAGCGAAAGCUAGGGGAGCAAACAGGAUUAGAUACCCUGGUAGUCCUAGCUGUAAACGAUGGAUACUAGACGUAGGAACUGGAUUGACGGUUUCUGUGUCGUAGCUAACGCGUUAAGUAUCCCGCCUGGGGAGUACGGUCGCAAGACUAAAACUCAAAGGAAUUGACAGGACCCCGCACAAGCGGCGGAGCAUGCGGCUUAAUUCG